rnacentral:rRNA from 1 species
CUACGGGACGCUCCAGUGAGGAAUAUUGGUCAAUGGAGGCAACUCUGAACCAGCCAUGCCGCGUGAAGGAUGACGGCCCUAUGGGUUGUAAACUUCUUUUGAAUAGGAAGAAACUUAUCUACGUGUAGAUAACUGACGGUACUAUUAGAAUAAGGAUCGGCUAACUCCGUGCCAGCAGCCGCGGUAAUACGGAGGAUCCAAGCGUUAUCCGGAUUCAUUGGGUUUAAAGGGUCCGUAGGCGGGUCUUUAAGUCAGUGGUGAAAGCCGACAGCUCAACUGUCGAACUGCCAUUGAAACUGGAAACCUUGAGUACGAAUGAAGUAGACGGAAUGAGUCAUGUAGCGGUGAAAUGCAUAGAUAUGACUCAGAACACCGAUUGCGAAGGCAGCUUACUAACAUGUAACUGACGCUGAGGGACGAAAGCGUGGGGAGCGAACAGGAUUAGAUACCCCCGUAGUC